UAAUUCAGCACGUUCCAGAUUUAUGAAAAUAAUCCAGAAGGCGUAGAUGCUUCCCUGCAGGUGGAUAAUGACAGCGGUACGAUCUGUACUUCCAGAUGUGAGCACAAGCAGGGACCGAGAUGCCGGACGCGUACCGGCAGCAACCGGGACGAAGCUGCACGCGUGCGGGACUCGACCGCGGGCUGCCGCUGCGCCCGCAGGCUGUGUGCCCGUGGCUGCCUCUUAGCGCGGUAGAGGGCUGCGGAUGUAAACCCAGGUGGCUGUGUAAGGACGCUGUCUGUUUUUCCACCUGUUUCAGAUCUGUUCCCGCCCCCCCCCACGCGCACCCCUCUCUCCAGGCGGUGACUGCUGGGGAGAGGACGGGUAAUUUGGGUCAGGGCAUCUGAGGCCGUGCCCCUUGAUAGGCUGAAUCACGUCCAGCAGUGUCAGCUGCCUACUCAUUUGUCAUUGCUGUGUAGGAGUUGUAAUGCUGAGAAACAACGUGACCCGCUGAAUUAACAUCUGCUCCCUGAAGAUUGCUUAACAGAAAAGUUCAGACGUUUUCCCGUUUGAAAUCUCAAGUCUGUUGCCUUAUCACUACAUCACCACGUUACUUCUUUGCUUUAAAUUAAUGAAAGUGCUUCAUAAUGUCCCUCUCAUAUAUACAUAUAUAUAUAUAUAUAUAAAAGGUAUCAUCAAUUUCCAAAUAGAAAAGCAAGGUGUUGGAAUGAUACGUGACUUGUUCCAGGUCACAAAGGGAGAAAACUGCAGAACCGAAAACUGUAAUCCUAAUUUUUUCUCUUCACCACAUAAAUAUCCUUGGUACACUGGAGGUAUUGGUGUAAAACUAAGAAUCACCUCUAUCUGUUAUCUUCAUUCUCUAUUUCCUGUUUAUUUUCUUCACACGGGUGCCAGUGUGUCUGAAAAGUACGACGCCGUGUUCCUUUCUGUGGAUUCAAUUUGUAGGAAAUGACCACUAUAAAUCCCAAUGGAGCAAAGGAAUUACAUCUGUGUUAUUACAGGGACUGUGAAUUGCCUGCACAGAACAACAGAGCUGUGACAAAUACUUAUUUGCAUUACUCCCUCAUUUACUCAUAUGCACCUGUGGAGCCUGGAACAGGCUUAGCAAAGGCCUUUCUGCUGGCAGACUAUGUGCAGUUCUCCAUCUUUCAAACACAUUGAGUUAAGAAUCUGAGAAAAAGAUUGUUUAAUCUCCUACUUAUCAGUGUGUUCUCCAAUAAAAGAAGUAACAUCUAAGGAAUAAAACCAGAAAUAGUAGGAACUGAAGUAGUUUGUUCAGAAAACCUUUCUGCCAGGCCAGGAUUUCUGUCUACAGAUGUGCUUUUUUUUUCAUUCACAAAUACUGUACACAGUGCAAUGGCUGGAGGGUUUUUUGUUUUGUUUUGUUUUUGUUUUGUUUUGCAACACACAUAGGUGUGAAAUUCAUUCUCAGCUUCUUCUAAAGAUGACACAAAAUUCUGGAUAUUACUUUAGAGCAAUGACUUCACGUUGGGACCAUCUAACUGGGGAAAGCAAGAAGAAAAUUCUUUCCCUAACAUCAAGCUGUAUGUGAGACAUUACUGUGAGAGCAGCACACAGUGGCCAAAAUGUAUUUAGGUCUACACAGAGACCAAGAAACAGAAAUCCACCACUACAAUAUUUAAGAAGUAAAAGCGGUAGCAAGAACUGUGAAAUGUUUGCAGGCAGUGUGGUAACUCCUUAAAGAUAUAUCAGAAAUAUGAGAUACACAGAACAAAUGAAUAUCACUUAAAGACAUACUUCUGGAAAGAUCAAAAGGGUCCAGAAUGCUUAAUAACAACUCGGCAGGUUCAAAAUGUUAUUGCAACAAAUGAAUGCUGAAGGGCAGAUUCAGGAGGAAGCAGAAGGCAGCGUUCUUGCAAAUUACAAUUACUAUUCUACUGAAAUAAAGAACCAGAGACCAAGCAGUGAUCCAUGACCAAUGUUGGCGACUAAAAUUAAACUGCCAUGCACAUACAUAAUCACAUGGAAACAACAGGGCGCUCAGUCCAGAGCCCAAAGGAUAAAUGUGAGUAUCAGAGGGAGUGUUGCUCUGUACCUACAAAUGACUCAGGGAGACCUUAAGCAUGUCCAUGAAGCAAAUACAAAUAAAUAGAGCUGAUUGAACAGUAUGAAAAGUUUCUACCCACACACCAAUUAUCAGAAGGCUUGCCAGUAAUAAAGAGGAACCAUACAAAAUGAGCUGAUUCUAAUUUGUGCUUUCUACUACAAAUGUAUCCUCCAAUAAAGUUUACUGAAGUAAGACAUAGGGCAUGCAGCAGAACUUCCAGUGCCAGUUCCCAGUUCCACAAAAUCAAUGGCACACUUCUGGCCAGCUGCUUACUGCCCUUUGGCUGCAAUAACAAUUUGCUUUCUGGCAGUGAGGUGCACCAGUAACUUAUUUUCUACACUAGAUAAAUAAAAUAAGGAUAGAAGAGAAAUGCUUCUUCCAAAUGGAUAAGUCCAAAAUAGCAAAUAAGGGUUUUUCUGCAUGUAAGUUCUCCACUUUGUA
rnacentral:lncRNA from 1 species